rnacentral:rRNA from 1 species
GAUGAACGCUGGCGGCGUGCCUAAUACAUGCAAGUCGAGCGAACAGAUAAGGAGCUUUCUCCUUUGACGUUAGCGGCGGACGGGUGAGUAACACGUGGAUAACCUUCCUAUAAGACUGGGAUAACUUCGGGAAACCGGAGCUAAUACCGGAUAACAUAUUGAACCGCAUGGUUCAAUAGUGAAAGGCGGCUUGGCUGUCACUUAUAGAUGGAUCCGGGGCGGAUUAGCUAGUUGGUAAGGUAACGGCUUACCAAGGCAACGAUCCGUAGCCGACCUGAGAGGGUGAUCGGCCACACUGGAACUGAGACACGGUCCAGACUCCUACGGGAGGCAGCAGUAGGGAAUCUUCGGCAAUGGGCGCAAGCCUGACGGAGCAACGCCGCGUGAGUGAUGAAGGUCUUCGGAUCGUAAAACCCUGUUAUCAGGGAAGAACAAAUGUGUAAGUAACUGUGCACAUCUUGACGGUACCUGAUCAGAAAGCCACGGCUAACUACGUG